UGCUGGUUUAGAUGUUGCGUCGAAGUUGUCAACUCUGAGGUCUGAACUUGCUAAGGCUGGUUCAUCUGCAAUUAUCGUCUCUGCGCUUGAUGAAAUUGCGUGGCUGUUAAACUUGGUAAUGCAUCUUAACAUCACCUAUUAACUUGAUGUACUGCUGAUUGUUAUUUGUAUGCAAUCACAUAUCAUUGUAAAGCUUCAUUCCGGGUAUUUUCAAGCUGUUUAGGUCUAAUAUAAGUUGCUCAUUGAUUUCCUUGCUUCCUCUGCUUUUCUCUGUUGAUGGUUUAAUCAGUGAGAGUAACUUUUGACUUUUUCUUUGAAGAGAGGCAUCGAUAUCCCACAUUCACCUGUCGUGUAUGCAUAUUUGAUUGUGGAGAUUGAUGGAGCUAAAUUAUUUAUCGACAAUUCAAAAGUUACUGAAGAGGUGGAUGACCACUUGAAGAAAGCAAACAUAGAGAUCAGGCCAUACAAUUCAAUUAUAUCAGAGAUUGAAAAGUAAUUAUUGGAAUACUCUUUUUUUGAAUUUUCUCGACCCUUCCAUUUCUCAUAUCAUUUAGUAGAAAUGGCCAAGAAUAUUACAUUAGAUAGGCCGAUGUGGCUUAAAAUAGUAGCUGAAAGGAAUGCAAGAUUGUCAUUUAAGAAUUCCUUUGGAUUCAGUGCUUGAAGAGGAUAGUCUUCCAUAGAGUGUUUACUAACUUGUGAAGGAAGAUGAAUAUGUGGUGAUAUUAAGGUGGCUCUUACUUUUACACGAGUUGAAGAGAAAUUAUGAACAAGGCUACAAUGAAGAGGAGGAGAGCUCAGAGUUGUGGUGAAUCAGCAAGAGAUUUUUGAAGUGAAUGAAGGAUUUAAAUAUUUCCAAGAUUCAGAAUUACUUCUAUAAAAAAAAUAGUAUCUAUUGCCUGUAAUUUUAGUCAUUCUGUUUUCUGUGUGAUGAUCUCAUAGUGUUCUGCUUUGAUUUUCAUUCUUUUUGGUGUAAACUAUAUUAUGUUGAAUAAGUGAUAUUUUAUGCAUAUGUAUGAAUGACGGCAUCGCGUGACUUACAUGGAUGAUGAAAAUCAUAUUUAAUUAUGGCAUAAAAAUUUGUAAAAUGAGUAUGGACAGAUACAAUAAAUGUAGAUAUUU